rnacentral:rRNA from 1 species
UCGGGAAUUUUGGGCAAUGGGCGAAAGCCUGACCCAGCAACGCCGCGUGAAGGAUGAAGUAUUUCGGUAUGUAAACUUCGAAAGAAUAGGAAGAAUAAAUGACGGUACUAUUUAUAAGGUCCGGCUAACUACGUGCCAGCAGCCGCGGUAAUACGUAGGGACCAAGCGUUGUUCGGAUUUACUGGGCGUAAAGGGCGCGUAGGCGGCAAUUCAAGUCAUCUGUGAAAUCUCCGGGCUUAACUCGGAACGGUCAGAUGAUACUGCUUUGCUAGAGUGCAGAAGGGGCAAUCGGAAUUCUUGGUGUAGCGGUGAAAUGCGUAGAUAUCAAGAGGAACACCUGAGGUGAAGACGGGUUGCUGGGCUGACACUGACGCUGAGGCGCGAAAGCCAGGGGAGCAAACGGGAUUAGAUACCCAGGUAGUCCCUGAGCGGGCUGGCAAGGCG